UACAGGGGGUGCAAACGUUGCUCGGAAUCAUUGGGCGUAAAGCGCACGUAGGCGGUUUGUUAUGUCGGAUGUGAAAGCCCUUGGCUCAACUGAGGAAGUGCAUCCGAAACUGGCAAGCUAGAGUACUAAAGAGGGUCGCGGAAUUCCCGGUGUAGAGGUGAAAUUCGUAGAUAUCGGGGAGGAACACCGGUGGCGAAGGCGGCGACCUGGGUAGAUACUGACGCUGAGGUGCGAAAGCGUGGGGAGCAAACAGG
rnacentral:rRNA from 1 species